CAGUGUAUUGUAUUUGUAUUUAUCUCUUUUAUUGCUAUUUUAGUUGCGCAACUGAACAGCAUGAAUUACAUCAAUGAUUACCGGUACAUGAUUAUUUUAGUCAUGUUGGUCAUGGUUGUUUCCGAUUGUAAUGUUUUGAAAUGUGGAAUAUUUAGAUAUUUUUCUAUCAGGAUAUAAGAUGGAUAAACGUAUAUAAUUUCUGUUGCCAUUAUACUUUGUAAGGAAACCACACUUGCUACCGUUGGAGGGAGAAAAGCUGAUCAUGUGCGCCAUAUACUAGAGAGACUAUUCACAAAUAGAUUGGCAUUGAAAUACAAUUGGACAGGAAAAAACCAGAAGAUAGCAUUAAAAAAUCUGCAGCUCAUGAAGAUUAUACCUGCUGCUGUUAGAAGAAAUAAAUACACU